GGUGCAUAUAAACGAGUACUGCAUUUCCUUUCCCAAUUUCCUUUUGUUAUCCUUACCACUUUACCGCAGGCAGAGAGCCUUCCUUUUCCGAUUCUCUAUUUCCUUUCCUCAUUCCCAAUCUCCGAUCCAUCCCUAAAAACAACUGACGAGAGAUCGAUGAUGAUGAAGAUGCUUUGUUGGAGGAAGAGCAGGAGCUUCCAUCUUCAGCUACAAGGGGCAAUUGGUACCAUUCAAUCUCCAUUCCUAUUCUUAUUUCCCAAUUAUUGCCAUUCUUCUACUUCCACAGUUGAAGAUGCACGCUUCUUGACAAAUAACUUCAAAUCUGCUUCUUUUACCCGCCUUGAUCAUGCCAUUGCUACCUUCAAUCAUGUAAUUCAUAGUUAGUUCAACACCAAAUAACGCUUUAUUAUCGAGGAGAAGGAGAUCUGCAAUGUACAACUCUUCUUAUUUAGCUAAUAGAAUUUGGGUUUUCACCUUUGAAAAGUGAAGUAAUAUAGCAAAAUCAAAAGUGCAGAGCAAGAGAGCAAAAAAAAAAAAAAAACAGACAAUCUCACAUUAGAAAGAGAAUUUAUUUAUAGAGGAUCUGGUCAAGAAUAAAUAUUAGAUCCAAAAACUAAGGAAAAAUCAGUAGAUGAAAUGAACAAUAGGCUUUACAGGAGAGGAGUGAUUGUAUGAAUUAACUGAAUAGUUCUCCAUGUUAGUGGGUUUUGAAUGAAAGGUGGAGUUGGAAGAGAGGAGGGUUAUGAGAGGUGAGUAGUAGGAGUUGUGAGUCCAUUAGCGUGAAAGAAAAGAGAAAAAGAGAAGAAUGAGAUAUUGUAUAAGAUUUUUUUGUUAGUAGCGGAAGACACGUCAGCAAAUUA
rnacentral:lncRNA from 1 species